rnacentral:rRNA from 1 species
UGGGGUUUAAAAGUGUCCGCAGCCCGGGAUGGGUAAGCGGUUCGUCAAAGCCCACCGCUCAACGGUGGAAAGGCGUACCGAACUGCCCCAUCUUGAGGCACGCUCAGGCAGGCGGAAUUCCCCGGUGUAGCGGUGAAAUGCGUAGAUAUCGGGAGGACCACUUGUGGCGAAGGCGCUCGGCUGGAACGGGUCCGACGGUGAGGGACGAAGGCCA